rnacentral:rRNA from 1 species
GGGGGAUAGCUAUUGGAAACGAUAGCUAAUACCGCGUAACAGCAUUUAACCCAUGUUAGAUGCUUGAAAGGAGCAAUUGCUUCACUAGUAGAUGGACCUGCGUUGUAUUAGCUAGUUGGUGAGGUAACGGCUCACCAAGGCGACGAUACAUAGCCGACCUGAGAGGGUGAUCGGCCACACUGGGACUGAGACACGGCCCAGACUCCUACGGGAGGCAGCAGUAGGGAAUCUUCGGCAAUGGGGGCAACCCUAACCGAGCAACGCCGCGUGAGUGAAGAAGGUUUUCGGAUCGUAAAGCUCUGUUGUAAGAGAAGAACGUGUGUGAGAGUGGAAAGUUCACACAGUGACGGUAACUUACCAGAAAGGGACGGCUAACUACGUGCCAGCAGCCGAGGUAAUACGUAGGUCCCGAGCGUUGUCCGGAUUUAUUGUGCGUAAAGAGAGCGCAGGCGGUUUAAUAAGUCUGAAGUUAAAGGCAGUGGCUUAACCAUUGUUCGCUUU